AGUAUAGGUCUCGUUACCAGGCCAUAAAAUUAUUAAAAAAAAAAUAAGUAUAAUAACUUUAAUGAAUAAACUAUUACUGAGUUGCUUAUUUAAUAACUUCAUUGAAUACAAUAAAAAGGAUCAAAGAUUUCAUAAAUAUGCUUUCAAACAGACAUACAGCACUUACAGAUUUGGAAGCAUUUAUUUCUCGCAGUGAUAACGAAAUAACAAUGAUCUUGCAGAGCUUACAAUGGAAUCGGCAGAUUUUAGUUUCUAACGCUGAUAUGGAAACUUGUACACACGAUACUGGACACAAAAUAUCUACCAAAAAAUCCAAGGAACAUGAAGAGCAAUGCUGGUUAAGAAUUCAGGGUUACUAUCAUGAGGAAAAGUUAUUGCCAGAACCUCUGAAUUCUAAAGCCCAUGCCAUUGUUAAACUAAAUUCUAAAGAUAUAAAUUUUAUCAUAGCAAAUGCUUCUAAGGAUGAUCCAGCAUUUAAAAGAGUGAAAAUAAAAUCUGGGAUCUUUUUUUAUUAAAAGGUGUUUUACAAGCAUAUUAUAUUUCCUUAACUUCUAAGGGAAAGUUUGGGAUGGUCCUCCACCACUUACAUUGGAGCGUCUGCAAGCAACAUAUACAGUAGAUGAACGUCGUGCAAUAUAUGAUGCUGUUGUUGCAUCAGAUCCAACUAGCCAUGACAUUUCUGACUUAGCAUUAAAUGAUGUAAAUGAGGUGAAAACUGAAAAAAAGGCAAAGUCGCGCAUCGAAAUACUUUCGGAACUGCGUGACAUGCGGCGGCGACGCACAAAGUAUCGCGUUGCUGCUAAAACCAAGAAGUACUCUGAUGUUUUACGUGACGUCAUUAGAACUCAGAUGGAGAUGUACACUGGCAUUCUUAAUGAUCAGGAGGACACUCUAGAAAAAACAACCCAUGACAAGGAUCUCCAUGAUGACAUCAAAAGAGAGAGGAGUCUAUCACUUCAAAGAAACAAACAAAUGUUUUUUUAUGAAAAUAACCCAAAUACUUCUGGAAGAUCUAUGAAUACAAGACAUGAAGGCAAGAGGAAUACAUACUCUUCAAGGCCAAGGGAUAUUCAUAAUCUUGAAACAUAUAGACAAGACAAAUAUAAUGAAAGACAUAGUAGUAGGAAAAAUUUUAAAGAUAAAAGUUAUGAAAAUAUGGAUAAUAGAAGAAAUAAUUUUAGAGAACAUGAGAGGAGUAGGUAUCAAGACAAAUUACACAAAAGAAGUAAACAUGAUGAUUAUAAAAGAGAAAAUAGGCACAAAAGCAGUAUGAAUGCUGAGAGAUACAGAGAUGAAUCAAGGAAACCUGACCAUAUUAGAUGUUUUAACAAUUUUAGGCAAGAAUAUAAGAAUCACUCCUACGCUGCUGGAAUACACCAAACAAAGAUCAAAGAGGAACAUAAAAGUUAUGACGAUAAAUAUGAAACUGGGUAUAACAGAACUUUAGAAAUGAACACCAUUAAGAUAAAAGUCGAAAAGGAAUAAGCCAUAGAUUGUGAAAUUUUUACCAUUAAUUCAUAAUUUGAUUAAAGAGUGACACAACAGAUAUGAAAAAAGACGUAGUACCAAAAAUGUGGUUACAAAUAUUCCAAGGUCGUAUCUCAAAAAAUACACGAAAUGUAUAUGUAUUGGCUCUAUUGUUUCCAAAUUAUUGUAAUCGAUCCGUGGGCCAGGGACGAGCUCACGUUACGCAGAUUAUUGUUUUCGAAGUAUUGCGGAAUAAAGUUAAUUUAACUAUAAAGCCAUAUUGAUAACUUUAUUACGAAAUUUAAAACGUUACGAAAAAAUAUUUUUGGACCUGUACCGUCUACUUGGCUGCUUUCUACUUGAUGUAAUGUCACGGCUCACGACUCGCAAUGCCACUACAUGUUUUUGGUUACGAUUUCAGAUUAAAAUAUAAAGAAUGCGGUUGUUGAUUUCCUUCAUUUUAUCAUUAUGUUGCUGUUAAUAUAGUUCUUAUUAUUCUUAAACAUACGAUAGUUAAACUUUAUACGCCAGCUUUACUUCAAUUACGAGAUUUAUUUGCAUGAGACAAUAAAAAUACGAAACUAAGAAUUUUUAGAAUCAGCCGUUUUUUGAUUUAAAAACUUGUGGUCGACCAAGCUUUAAGCACUAAUUUAUAAUAAGAUAAAUAAUAUACUGGAGACCAGCCCCGGCUUAGUCCGGGCAACCGUGACCUGAACCUCUUGAAAAAAUUUAUGCCUAAAGGUUCCCCGUGAAUUAUUCCAGAUAUUGGUGAAAACCGCAAUAAAUUCCGUGAAGAAGUUUUUGAGUCUCGAACAGAUAGACGCAGCGGAAAACUUGGUUUUAUAAUAGACUGUUUUUGCCGAUUUACUUAUGUUCCGACUACCACGACAUUGUUUUCAUUUUUUGGGUUAACAAAUAUAUAGCUGUUUUCA